UGCCAGCUGCGGUUGCCAGGUGUCUUGCCAUCCCACAUGAGUGUCAUGCGCAGUUCAUUCGCCAGCCAACGCGUGAGGCAUCGCCUUUCCCACGGCCUGACACACCAGAAAACAUAUCUUCUAUAUCUUGUUUCACCCUGGAAUAUUAUUCUUACUAUUAUUGCACACUUUCCUGCCAGAGGCAAGGUGCGUUGCAGCAACCUAUCGAUAAUACCUUUCAGCCUUCUCUGUCUUGGCACUUUCUCCACCAAUGGCAUGCCAACCAAUGAAGUCCAGGUCAUCCCUUACGAAAAUCAUUCCAGGAGUUGACAGGCCUGCCUAAAAACUAGUAUUCCUUCAAACCAUUCGGAGGCUCACAACGAGAAAGCCAGUUGCUGGCUGACCCAGCUGCAGGCCUUCACACAAGCCAGUUUAGGCAGAUUAGUUGGAUUGAAAGAGACACAUUAUGCUUCAACCAAAUCAGGCGCCAUGUGAUCAGGCAGUGCCAUACCUCAUUUGCAGGAUGGCGUCGAGAAUGUCACAGUCAGGGAUGGUUGAAGCAUCGGGCUGCGGAGCCUCCAGCCUCAAUGCAUGUGCCACCAGUUUCCUGACGGCUCUGAAGAUCGGCCGCUUUGCGCCACUGCUUCCAGCCUCUG
rnacentral:lncRNA from 1 species